UGGCUCAGUUGGUAGAGCAUGGUGUUUGCAAUGCCAGGGUUGUGGGUUCGAUUCCCGU
rnacentral:tRNA from 1 species